rnacentral:tRNA from 1 species
GGCUCAGGGGUCCAGUGGUAAAGCGCUCGUUGCGGAGCCAGAGGGUCCUGGGUUCGAUCCUUAGCGGGGUCG